rnacentral:rRNA from 1 species
GAUGAACGCUUGCUACAGGCUUAACACAUGCAAGUCGAGGGGCAGCAUGGUCUUAGCUUGCUAAGGCCGAUGGCGACCGGCGCACGGGUGAGUAACGCGUAUCCAACCUGCCUUACACUCUUGGACAGCCUUCUGAAAGGGAGAUUAAUACAAGAUGUUAUCAUGAGUAAGCAUUUUCACAUGAUUAAAGGUUUACCGGUGUAAGAUGGGGAUGCGUUCCAUUAGAUAGUAGGCGGGGUAACGGCCCACCUAGUCUUCGAUGGAUAGGGGUUCUGAGAGGAAGGUCCCCCACAUUGGAACUGAGACACGGUCCAAACUCCUACGGGAGGCAGCAGUGAGGAAUAUUGGUCAAUGGACGAGAGUCUGAACCAGCCAAGUAGCGUGAAGGAUGAAGGUUCUAUGGAUUGUAAACUUCUUUUAUACGGGAAUAAACGGAUCCACGUGUGGAUUUUUGCAUGUACCGUAUGAAUAAGGAUCGGCUAACUCCGUGCCAGCAGCCGCGGUAAUACGGAGGAUCCGAGCGUUAUCCGGAUUUAUUGGGUUUAAAGGGAGCGUAGAUGGGUUGUUAAGUCAGUUGUGAAAGUUUGCGGCUCAACCGUAAAAUUGCAAUUGAUACUGGCAGUCUUGAGUACAGUUGAGGUAGGCGGAAUUCGUGGUGUAGCGGUGAAAUGCUUAGAUAUCACGAAGAACUCCGAUUGCGAAGGCAGCUUACUAACCUGUAACUGACAUUGAUGCUCGAAAGUGUGGGUAUCAAACAGGAUUAGAUACCCUGGUAGUCCACACGGUAAACGAUGAAUACUCGCUGUAGGCGAUAUACAGUCUGCGGCCAAGCGAAAGCAUUAAGUAUUCCACCUGGGGAGUACGCCGGCAACGGUGAAACUCAAAGGAAUUGACGGGGGCCCGCACAAGCGGAGGAACAUGUGGUUUAAUUCGAUGAUACGCGAGGAACCUUACCCGGGCUUAAAUUGCAACCGAAUAUGGCGGAAACGCUAUAGCUAGCAAUAGCGGUUGUGAAGGUGCUGCAUGGUUGUCGUCAGCUCGUGCCGUGAGGUGUCGGCUUAAGUGCCAUAACGAGCGCAACCCUUGCCGAUAGUUACUAACAGGUCAUGCUGAGGACUCUGUCGGGACUGCCAUCGUAAGAUGUGAGGAAGGUGGGGAUGACGUCAAAUCAGCACGGCCCUUACGUCCGGGGCUACACACGUGUUACAAUGGGGGGUACAGAGGGCUGCUACCACGCAAGUGGAUGCCAAUCCCAAAAACCUCUCUCAGUUCGGAUUGAAGUCUGCAACCCGACUUCAUGAAGCUGGAUUCGCUAGUAAUCGCGCAUCAGCCACGGCGCGGUGAAUACGUUCCCGGGCCUUGUACACACCGCCCGUCAAGCCAUGGGAGCCGGGGGUACCUGAAGUGCGUAACCGCAAGGAGCGCCCUAGGGUAAAACUGGUGACUGGGGCUAAGUC